GGAUCGGUUUUUUCCCCGACUAAAUAUAGAUUUUAAAUAUAAAUUUAAAUAUAAACACGCAUUGUGACAACAACAACAACAACAACAACACAUAUGGCGGAAUCUGUAUUGUCAAACACGGAAGAAGAAGGAUACAACUAUAAUUAAACCAAGAAGUUUAUGAAGAAGGGAUCACUGGAUUUUGUCACUUUGGUACAAGAAACAGAAAAGGAUAUCAUAGACCACCUUACUUAUACGGAAGCAUAGGAGCUGUUGAAGGAAAUUGCUGCAAGACAGUCAGCAGUUAUCACUGACAGCCUGCCCUGGCCCAGCUUGGACCAUCCUCAAACUAACCAUGAUGGUGUGUUUGCAAGAAUUGUCCAUUUGGUAGACCAUGAUGAAGACCAGCUUUGUUGUGGCAUGGCCUGACAAUACUGUACAAGCCAGAGACCAAAAAAGGGUUUAGUGGUGACUGAUCCUCUCACCCUCCUUAUCCAGGAUGCGUUUUGGAACAACGUGGCAAUGAAGAUGUGGAGGACACAGAUUGAUCACAGUACAUCCUUUGGAUACAUGGACACCUUCAACGGGACGACAACAAAACUGUACCUGCCUUUUUAUGAAAGGAAGUAGUUAAUAAAAUUAUUGUUAACAGCUUUUUUAGUCUUGUUGUUUAUGAAUGCUUGCAACAUUUAAGUCGA